UACGGAGGAUCCAAGCGUUAUCCGGAAUCAUUGGGUUUAAAGGGUCCGUAGGCGGUUUGGUAAGUCAGUGGUGAAAGCCCAUCGCUCAACGGUGGAACGGCCAUUGAUACUGCCAGACUUGAAUUAUUAGGAAGUAACUAGAAUAUGUAGUGUAGCGGUGAAAUGCUUAGAGAUUACAUGGAAUACCAAUUGCGAAGGCAGGUUACUACGUAAUGGAUUGACGCUGAUGGACGAAAAGCGUGGGUAGCGAACAGG
rnacentral:rRNA from 1 species